rnacentral:misc_RNA from 1 species
CUGAGUUAUCUAACUCCCAAACCAUUGUGAACUUACCACUGUUGCCUCGGCGGUAGACUCCUGUAACAGGGACGACACCGCCGGUGGACCACUAAACUCUGUUAAAUUUUUGUAUUCUGAAUCAAUAACUUAAUAAGUUA